rnacentral:rRNA from 1 species
GCGCACCAGUCGCGAAACUUCACACUGCGCGAAAGCGCGAUGAGGGAAUCCCAAGUGCUUGCACGUAAGUGUAAGCUGUUUCCCUGUCUAAAAGCAGAGAGAGUAAGGGCUGGGUAAGACGGGUGCCAGCCGCCGCGGUAAUACCUGCAGCUCAAGUGGUGGCCGCUAUUAUUGGGCCUAAAACGUCCGUAGCCGGUCUAGUAAAUGCCUGGGUAAAUCGUGAGGCUUAAACCUUACGAAUUCCGGGUAGACUGCUAGACUUGAGACCGGGAGAGGCUAGAGGUACUCCUGGGGUAGAGGUGAAAUUCUGUAAUCCUAGGGGGACCACCAGUGGCGAAGGCGUCUAGCUAGAACGGGUCUGACGGUGAGGGACGAAGCCCUGGGGCGCAAACCGGAUUAGAUACUCCGGUAGU